UUUCCGGUGUUCAUCAACUGCUGAAUUUCAACGGCGCUCUUGCACACCGACGUGGAUAGGUCUUUAACGAAUACACCAGUGUCUGGUUUCUCCUUCAACUCGAAUCUGAGACUCUGAUCGGGCUGCAAAAGAUCGCGAAUCUCUUCCUGAUAUAUUUCAAGGCCCUCCAUGGUGUACGUUUUGCCUGUUCCGGUUUGGCCGUAAGCGAAGAUGGUACCGUUGAAACCGUCAAGAACCGAAGAUACCAGUGGCCUGACCGUUUCCUCGUAGAGGUCUUGUUGGCUGGAAUUCCAGUCAUAGACCGCAUCGAACGUGAAAACUUUCACAUUGUCGGUGGAAGGAUCGUCCCGCGGAUGACGAAUCUCGACCACUCCCCUCGAAGGGAAUACGUCGACCACACGCGUAUAACCACGGGCUAACUCCUUCUCGUCCAUCGGUCUGCAACGCACGACCACCUGGACGCGCUGGGUCACGACGUCCGCCGAGCCGCUCGUCUUCAUGCUCUUCUUUUUCCAGGUUUUCAGCUGGUUGUCCGACUUAUCCAUGUUGACGGCUGAUACGACUUCACCUGAGAAAAACGCAACGGUGAGACUCUGGACUCGAGCACGCACGCAACUACUUUGCAAAAUCAAUACUUAAUCCCAUUCGACCCAUUGCAAAACCGGUGAAAUUGUGAAAUAACCGUAUCGUAAAAAGUGAUAGUUGAUCUUGUAAAGAAAAUGGAUAAUAUCGUGUUUUAUGAAUUAAUAAAGGUUUUAUGGAAGUAACGUGACGUCUCGUUUGUUUAAUUUUACGAUUGUACGUAUACUUCUUAGCAAUUGUUGCCGUUAAUGGAAAAGUGACGAACAAGGCGCCGGUUGACGUAACUGUUUGUACUUGCGUGAUCUUUAGCGUGUAGGAGUAGUGUGUAGGAUCCGCUGCAUGGUCGUUGAUUAAUCGAAACACAAUUGUUUUAUUCCUCCGAAGAAAGCUAAGUAUCCGUUUUUUCGUUAACGACAAGGAGCGAGAAUACCCGUAAGCAUCUCGUAAUUCACGCAUAUUCCGAUUUCUUUUUAAUUACGAAUUAGAAUUAAGCAGAGAAAUCGUAAAAAUUGCGUUGGAAUGCGGCCGCGGCUUUGUUAAUGUUUAGCGAGAAACUUUCUUGAUUUUUCGAAGCAUUCU
rnacentral:misc_RNA from 1 species